GGAGAGUUCGCCUAGAGGCCUAUGGCACUUGCUUGGAAAGCAAGCGGGUUUAAAAGCCCACGCGAGUUCGAAUCUCGCACUCUCCG
rnacentral:tRNA from 1 species